rnacentral:rRNA from 1 species
UACAGAGGUCCCAAGCGUUGUUCGGAUUCACUGGGCGUAAAGGGUGCGUAGGCGGUCGGGUAAGUCUGAUGUGAAAUCUCACAGCUUAACUUUGAAACUGCAUUGGAUACUAUCCGGCUCGAGGAAUGGAGGGGAGACUGGAAUACUUGGUGUAGCAGUGAAAUGCGUAGAUAUCAAGUGGAACACCAGUGGCGAAGGCGGCUCUCUGGACCACAACUGACGCUGAGGCGCGAAAGCUAGGGGAGCAAACAGG